AAAAAUAAAAAUAAAAAUACAGUAGAUUGGCAGCUAAGCUUCCCUCCCGAUAAAAACAUUCGAGCAGCUUUCUCUCAACUGAUAUCAACUUCCAUUCCCCCGUACCCCAAAAAAACUAACCUUUGUCAUCUACACUGUUGUUUGAUCUCUCUCUCUCUCUCUCUCUCUGGGUUUCCUUUUAUUACAGGGUAAUCACUGUGUGCCAAAUGCCUUUUGAUCUAAACGAAAAACAUUUAUCAAUGUUUUGGUUUUGCUUCAAGAAGUCGGGGAGGCUAUUGUGCUUGCGGAAGAUCUUGUUUUGGGAAUGGACAUGACAAUUUGCAGUUUUCUUUUUGUGGAAAGCUCAAUUCUCAUUGCAUUCUAAGAAGGUUAAGAAAUUGUUUCUGUGAAGGAAGGCCCUUUGGCACUCUACUUUGAAUUAAUUGAUGGGGACAAUGUCACAUCGGCAGCCGGGAUACCGAUUUCAUCCUACUGAUAUUGAGCUGGUUGUUUUUUAUUUGAAGUUGAAAUUUAGUAUGAUAAGUUUUCAUCCUCAAGAAAUUGCAGAGGUUAACAUCUACAAGUUUGCCCCAUGGGAACUUCCAGAAAAAUCCAUUUCGCAAAGUGGUGAUCUGAAAUGGUACUUCUUUUGCCCAGUCGAGAAAAAAUAUGCAAAUGGGCUUAGAAUGAAUCGCAAAACUGAAUUUGGGUACUGGAAAAGCACCGGAAAGUGUAAACUUGUUCGUCACAACGAAGUGCUGGUGGGCUCAAGAAAAACAUUGAUUUUUCACAGGACAAGUGAAAAACAAAGGGCACGAACAGAUUGGGUUAUGCAUGAGUACAGUCUUGAGUAUAAGAAUCUGGCUAAGGAAAAAGAUGUUCAGAACAAAUAUGUGCUUUGUAAAAUUUUCCAGAAGGAGGGCCGAGGCCCAAGAAAUGGUGCCCAAUACGGAGCACCUUUUAAAGAAGAAGAUUGGAGUGGUUGGAGUGAUGUUAGUGGUGUUGAGGUGGCUGACUGUGCAGAAGAUGUUACCUUGGCUACAUCGUCUACCCCAACUUUUAUGCUGCCUAAUAACAACAUCAAUUCAGCUGCUAUUGGCACCACAUCAUUGGGUGGCACGAUAUCUGAGUCAUGUCUAUCUUUGACUGUGCCAUCACAGUGCGAGGGGGUUUCUGAUGUUCCUCAUAAUAAUGUCACGAGUCAGUUGUAUCAAGCUCUGCCAGGUGAUAUUCUUCCAACAGUGCUUCCUGAUAAUGAGGAUGAGAUUAGUUCAAUGUUUGAUUACUACCUCGCAGAGGGAAACACUGUGAUUUUGUCCGGAGAUGAAAAUAAUAAGAAUCUCAGUAGUGAUGAAAUUGAUCAUGAAGAUCCUUUUUACCAUGAGUUGAUAAACACCAUCAUUUGGGACUGGGACAACACUGCUGGACCGAGUGUAGAUGGCAAUGUUCAGGAAGCCAGUGUUCAUCAGGAGGAUCGUAUUUACAUGAAGGAUCUAGAGUCACCACUGGAUAGCUGAGGGGUAGAAAAAAAGGAUCAGCCACUAAUUAAUACCUUUUUUCUUCUAUACUUACACCCAUGAAAUUAUAUCACAAAAAUACUUCAAUGUGUGUCAGAGGUGCUUUCCCUGAUAAGCAGCAGCUUAGAUGCAUGGCGGACUAUCAGAGGGUUUUGAAUGGAAUAUUAUGAAAUCGAAUGUCAACACCUGCAUGGUUGCCCCAUUUGAAAAGACUAGCCCAGUUUAGGAGCCCUGAUUAAAAUUGCAUGUCAGCCACCGUGUGAUGUAACUUUGUAAGGCCAUUUUGGUUAUUGUGGGAUGGCUGUAGGGUUCUCUUGGAGGUAAAAGAGUUAAUGGUAGUUCAUGGCCUCCUUUUUCUUUUUCUUUUUUGCUGGCUGUGAGGAAUUUGUAACUGUAUGGGCAGAAUAUUUCUCAGAAGUCUCGCAGGUGCAUUUUUCUUCAACAGGGCUUGCUUUUUUUUAAAAAAUUUUUUAAUUUAGCGGUCCUAACCUUCAUGGGGAAGAACACAUACUGUACAGAGCUACUCCAGUGGAAAGGACAGGUCAGAGAUCAAAUCUCUACAGAAAUUAAAAAGAAGGUCCCGGAAACUACCAAGCUCUGAGUACGGUUGCCGCAGACGGAUUUUCCGGCGACUGCAAUUGCUACAUGUUUUGCACUGGUUAGUGAUCUGAAGCAUUCGUUCGGGCAUGGUUCUUUUGCAUCUUUCACUUCCAUCUGCUGUGGAUAUAAUCUUUCCGAUUAAAAGCAUGGAACAAGAUUCAACAUUUGAAUGUUGGCCUGCUGUUCCCGGAGUUUGUGAUUAUGGUUUCAAAGUUGUGUUGGAAUAUUCUUGGGAAAAAGAGUGUUAUGAUUGUAUCAUGUACAACUUACCGUUUAUCUUCUGUAGUGAUUUUUUUUUUUUUCUUUUUCGUUGCAACUUAUAAAGUAUAAAGCAAAUUGGUGGUAGAGAUCUUUGAUCAACCUUUGCAUCAAUUCAGUAUUGUGUAUCCUGUACGUGUUGGUGAACUUUUGUGUAUCCUGUAUUGUGUUGGUCGAUUGGCUCUGCAUUCGGCUCAGAUGAAAACAUCAACAUGUUUCUAUACAUAA